rnacentral:rRNA from 1 species
CCUACGGGAGGCAGCAGUGAGGAAUAUUGGUCAAUGGACGAGAGUCUGAACCAGCCAAGUAGCGUGAAGGAUGACUGCCCUAUGGGUUGUAAACUUCUUUUAUAUGGGAAUAAAAUGUUCCACGUGUGGGAUUUUGUAUGUACCAUAUGAAUAAGGAUCGGCUAACUCCGUGCCAGCAGCCGCGGUAAUACGGAGGAUCCGAGCGUUAUCCGGAUUUAUUGGGUUUAAAGGGAGCGUAGGUGGAUUGUUAAGUCGGUUGUGAAAGUUUGCGGCUCAACCGUAAAAUUGCAGUUGAAACUGGCAGUCUUGAGUACAGUAGAGGUGGGCGGAAUUCGUGGUGUAGCGGUGAAAUGCUUAGAUAUCACGAAGAACUCCGAUUGCGAAGGCAGUUCACUGGACUGCAACUGACACUGAGGCUCGAAAGUGUGGGUAUCAAACAGGAUUAGAUACCCGAGUAGUC